rnacentral:rRNA from 1 species
GUACCCCGGACUCCGGGAUAGCUGCCCGAAAGGGCAGGUAAUACCGGAUGACAUACUCCGCAGGCAUCUGUGGAGUCUCAAAGGUCCGCCGGUCUGGGCGCAGGCGAUUUCGUAUCAGCUAGUUGGUGAGGUAACGGCUCACCAAGGCGACGAUCAGUAGCUGGUCUGAGAGGAUGAUCAGCCACAUUGGGACUGAGACACGGCCCAG